UGUACAAAUCACCUUACAAAGUCAAAGUAGUUGUCCAUGCACUUUUGAUUCUUCUUAAUUAAUGAACAAGUCUGAUGCAUUCCUGAACUUGGAUCACUUGCUCUAAAUCAAGAGGGAAGCACCUCUUCUUUCUAUAGAGAAAACUGUCUUCUUUCUGAAGCCUAGCAUUUCCACAUUAGGCUUUGAGUAACUUUUGUGUUAUUCCUUCUCUUCUGGGUAUUUUUUUUGGGGUGUCUAUUUUUGAUAAUAUAUUGCUACGUCAUUUCUGAGAGUUUUAAACUUAAUUUAGGACUCUGUGAAUUAAUUUCUCUUUUGUGAGUGUACUGUAGCAGCAUUGCAGAGAAGUAAGGAUUAUUUGCUGAGUCAUCCUAAGAUCUGGUGUGAGGACUUUCUUAAGGACUUGGAAAAACUUUGGCAGACUGCUUCUGUGGAGAUGUGGGGGAUGCGACCCAGCGUCAGAGACGCUGGAUGCUAGCCAAGGCACAGCACAUCUUGCACUUGUUCCCUCUAGAAGGGUACUGAGGCACAAUGAAGUAAAAUAACUCCCUGGAAAGCACCCAAGCAGCACAUGGCAGAAGUUGGAAAACAAGUAUUCUCAGAGCUAUCAUCUGCUUUGUGCACAAUGCUGCUCCUUCAUUAAGAUUGGAAGGAUUUUAUUUUAUUAGGCAUGAGGAGGUCAAGCACUGAGCAGGGAGACAUUUUUCAGAGAAGGGAGUUUCUACCUGUGUGGGGGCUACUAUUUUGGUGUUGGCAACAGGACACAAGCAGUCUGCAGAGAGAUUCAUAUUGUGAUUUGGCCUAAGAGGUAAAAAGCUUGCUUUAAGGUAAUAAAUCUUCAUGAUUUUUUUAAGACUACUCAGAAACAUCAGUGUUUGUCUCAGUCCUUCAGAAAGUGAGCAAAUGUGCUAGUGCUGGUGGAUUUCAACAGGCAACCUUCUAAUACCCAUCAGCAUGACAAAUGAUACCUGUUCAUUCUGAGAAAGUGAAGAGAACAGCUGAAUUCUUAUUUCCUUCUCAUUUGGGGGAUUAAAGUUGGGAGGGAUCAUCUGUUAUAUCUGGGGCCUCCAGUCCCUUCUCUGCUAUGCAGGGAAGCUUUAAGAUGAUGGCCAAACAUGCCUAUAAGACUCCGAAGGUGAGGGGAUGCUGUUUCUAGAACUGUGUGAUUGUGUGACAGGUCUUAUCUGUGGUGUUAUGGCCCAUGUGCAACUGCCAAGACUAAACAAAUACUUUAAAUUAGACUCUGCUCUGGCAACCAGAAAGUCUGCUGUUUAAUGCUGGUGCAUCUUAGAGACAGGAAGGGGAGAGAAGGGCAGCUGUGUGGUCUUCCACAUUGGAAAUGCAGGAUGAUGUUAGCGCGUUACUGAUUGGAAAGGUAUGUGCUGUUUUCCAAGUCAUGUUGAGCAAGAGGCCUAUUGUAGUUAUUUCUGGUGAGUUUGCUAACAAUACAUUAUUAUUUAAGAAUGUAAAAAGAUGGCUGUUCUGGUAAUUUUAGAAAUAACUUUCUUUACAAUUUCAGUGUUGCAUUUCCUGUAAGCCUUUAUUAUGAUAAUAAAAAUG